rnacentral:rRNA from 1 species
UAAGACGAAGGGGGCUAGCGUUGUUCGGAAUUACUGGGCGUAAAGGGCGCGUAGGCGGUCUUGUUAGUCAGGCGUGAAAGCCCUGGGCUCAACCUGGGAUGUGCGCUUGAUACUGCGAGGCUUGAGUGCAGGAGAGGAUGGUGGAAUUCCCAGUGUAGAGGUGAAAUUCGUAGAUAUUGGGAAGAACACCGGUGGCGAAGGCGGCCAUCUGGACUGCAACUGACGCUGAGGCGCGAAAGCGUGGGGAGCAAACAGG